GAGUUUGAUCCUGGCUCAGGACGAACGCUGGCGGCGCGCUUAACACAUGCAAGUCGAACGUGAAGCUGGAGCUUGCUCCGGUGGAAAGUGGCGAACGGGUGCGUAACACGUGAGCAACCUGCCCCGAAGACUGGGAUAACACCGGGAAGCCGGUGCUAAUACCGGAUACCUUCUUCCGACCGCAUGGUUGGACGAAGAAAUGGGAUUCCGCUUCGGGAUGGGCUCGCGGCCUAUCAGCUUGUUGGUGAGGUAACGGCCCACCAAAGGCGGCGACGGGUAGCUGGUCUGAGAGGACGACCAGCCACACUGGGACUGAGACACGGCCCAGACUCCUACGGGAGGCAGCAGUGGGGAAUCUUGCUCAAUGGGCGAAAGCCUGAAGCAGCGACGCCGCGUGCGGGAUGAAGGCCCUCGGGUUGUAAACCGCUUUCAGCAGGGACGAAAUUGACGGUACCUGCAGAAGAAGGCCCGGCCAACUACGUGCCAGCCGCCGCCGU
rnacentral:rRNA from 1 species